GCUUCAAAUGAGAGAACCACCAUUCACCAGAUGAGAUGCACCUUUUAACUUGGCUGCAAAGAUGCAUUUCUAGUGCAAUUUAUGCAAAACUACUCAACUGACGUUGCCUACUGGUCAUUUGGUCAUUUUCUUAAUGUUUGACUUGAGCUCUGCCAGAGCCCAUGGGUGCUUUUUCAUCUGUCUGUUAAGGGUUUGAUUUGGCUUCUAAUGAGCCAAAAUUGGGGAAAAGCCUCAUGCUACUUUAGUUAUCUGUGUUUAUUGAAUGAAACCUUAACUAACUCUUUCUAAAAUGUGAAGCUGAAAUGUGUCUUAUCCUUAUAUGUUUAAAUGCUUAAUUCUAUUUUUUUAUAGCAGGAUUUUGAAAUGCAUCGAGGCAAACCUCUUUACCUGAAUGAAGAACGUUAUGCUGCUUUGACCUACUUGGUUUCUUCUCAUGGCCUGGACCGAAGUUCCAAGGUUCUUGGCCAGACUACAAUUGGUUCCUUCUUCUUGGUUUAACUCUGACUUUAUUUGCGAUCUAAUUUUAAGGAAUUUUGGCUAGCAGAUAUCAGGAAGGUGAAAGGGGUUCUAGAAUAUGCUAGUAUAUAAUGUUACUCUCACCUGUGAUAGGAGAAAUAAUUCAAACAUAUCUUGUGCUGUCAUAUGAUAGAAGCAUACAGAUCCUUCAGAUUGAUACAGUUUCUGCUUAAGGCCUGAAAGCUUGGCUCCUGUGGGAUACCCCAUCUCCUGGUUGUGGCUUUACAGCUUUUCUUUACGCUAACUUAGCAGGAAGCGUUACUCCUGCCGGUAUGAAAGCAGCUGCACGGGUGUACAUAAAUAUCAUUAUACAAUACUAGCGAGGAGCGACUGCAUUGAAGGGCAAUUUGUGGAAUUGUGUGCUUAUUCCAUCACAUCUGUGGUUUAGCUUGUUGAUCGGGACAGCCAUAUCGUUGUGCCUCUUCCGAGAUUUCUGGGUUUGGGAAAAACACUGAAUGCCAUUACAUGUGCUCCAUAUAUGUUCUGUGCAGCUGUGAAGGUCACACUAUUUGUCUUCAAUUUUAUGUCCAAAGUUGGGGUGAUGAACAUGCUUAGCCUAUAAUUAAGCAAACCUGACCUAGAAGCUGCAAGGUGUGUGAGGAGACGAGUGAGAAAGUUAGUGUGAGAGAGUACUAGGGCUGGGUCCCUUGCGAGUCAGAGUGUUUCAGUGAAGUGUUCAGGGAAGGCAAGUUCCGAGCAACUGACUGAGGAAGAGGAGGACGCUUUGGGUGGGAGUGUCAAAAAGCUCAAUGAGGAUACUAUCAUGGGAGAGGCUUCAGGGAAGCAAGAGACAGUUUUUUAGCAUCCAACUGGAACUCCAAAAUACUCCCGAGUUUCGUAAGAAAGCAUCUCUUCUUGGUCAUCAACCACAAGAGGAGCAACAAAGCUUUGAGGACUUGGUGAAGGAAUGGCUACCGGAGAAGGAACAAGCUGUCCCAAAGCUUAAACAGGGGAACAACAAACCAUCAUGAAUAAGCUGCCGAAAGUGACGCUACCAGAUGAGCAUUGGAUUGAGCUUUGUAGACCCUAGAAAGACACUUCGAUAGUCACGCACCUGGGUAGAAGAUUCAACAAGUACCAGUUGAAAGAUAAACUCGAUCUUUUGUGGGGCUUUAAGGAGUACGAGGUCAUUGACAUGGCAAAUAACUAUUUUGCGGUUCGCUUCUCCCAACCCCAUCAGUACAAGAAAGCUUUAACAGAAGGCCCUUGGGUCAUCCAAGGACAUUAUCUUGCUAUUUAAAUAUGUAGUCCGAAUUUCAAUCAUUUCAUCAAUACUUUGAAGAAACUGGCUAUAUGGGUUAGGGUUCCUUUGCUUCCUUUACACCGUUAUAAUGAGGAAAUAUUAAGGGAACUGGGGAACUUGAUCAUCAAGGUCCUCAAGAUUGA